rnacentral:rRNA from 1 species
UACGUAGGGGGCAAGCGUUGUUCGGAAUUACUGGGCGUAAAGGGCGCGUAGGCGGCACGGCAAGUCGGGAGUGAAAGGCCUGGGCUCAACCGAGGAACUGCUUUCGAGACUGCCGAGCUAGAGUGCGGAAGGGGCAACUGGAAUUCCCGGUGUAGUGGUGAAAUGCGUAGAUAUCGGGAGGAACACCAGUGGCGAAGGCGACUACCUGGCCUGUUCUUGACGCUGAGGCGCGAAAGCUAGGGGAGCAAACGGG